rnacentral:rRNA from 1 species
ACAAGCGGUGGAGUAUGUGGUUUAAUUCGACGCAACGCGCAGAACCUUACCUAGACUUGACAUCCCGGGGAUUUUCUGGAAACAGAGAAGUGCUUUAGCAAUAAAGAACCCGGUGACAGGUGCUGCAUGGCUGUCGUCAGCUCGUGUCGUGAGAUGUUGGGUUAAGUCCCGCAACGAGCGCAACCCUCGCCUUUAGUUGCCAGCAUUCAGUUGGGCACUCUAGAGGGACUGCCGGUGUCAAACCGGAGGAAGGUGGGGAUGACGUCAAGUCCUCAUGGCCUUUAUGACCAGGGCUACACACGUACUACAAUGGCCGGUACAAAGGGCAGCGACACAGCGAUGUGAAGCGAAUCCCGAAAAGCCGGUCUCAGUCCGGAUUGGAGUCUGCAACUCGACUCCAUGAAGUUGGAAUCGCUAGUAAUCGCGGAUCAGCACGCCGCGGUGAAUACGUUCCCGGGCCUU